GACGAACGCUGGCGGCGUGCUUAACACAUGCAAGUCGAACGGAAAGGCCCUGCUUUUGUGGGCUGCUCGAGUGGCGAACGCGUGAGUAACACGUGAGUAACCUGCCCUUGACUUUGGGAUAACUUCAGGAAACUGGGGUUAAUACCGGAUAGGAUCUCCCGCUGCAUUGUGGGGGUUGGAAAGUUUCGGCUGGCGGGGAUGGACUCGCGGCUUACCAGUUUGUUGGUCGGGUAGUGGCUUACCAAGGCUUUGACGGAUACCCGGCCUGAGAGGGUGGACGGGGACCAUGCGACUACGAUAGGGCGCAGACUGCUACGGUAGGCAACGGGGGGGAGUAUUGCACAAUGGGCGGAAGCCUGAUGCGACAGCGCCGCGUGCGGAAUGACGGCCUGCGGGUUAUGAACCGCUGUCGCCUGUGACGAAGCGUGAGUGACGGUAAUGAAUAAAGAAGCACCGGCUAACUGCGUG
rnacentral:rRNA from 1 species